ensembl:lncRNA
GCCGGGCCCGCGGGGGCGAGCUGAAAACAAGGAUGGAACAGGCAUCGGGACCUUUCUGUGUGUGUGUGUGCACAGAUGUUACACACACAUACGUUACACACACAGACGUUACACAAAUCCCCAUAUGUUGCCGGCGCUCCCUCGCCCGGAGAGAAGCGAGGCCGGUGUGGACCUCUGAGCCGAGUCCUCCUUACGGUUUUCCUAGACUGGCUCUUUAUGUGGCAUCUGGGAUACAACAGCCUCAGGAAAGGUCUCUGUUAGUCCUUGACCACACCUGUGCCUGAGACCUUCCAGAGGAGCACUGUUCACGUCUUCCACUUCCAGAGCUGAAGGCCCACCCUUUCCCCGUUCUUCCUGGAUGGAUCUCACCAGAAGGGUGGCACCAGGAAGAGAAAAGAGCAAGAUACAGGGAAUGGAGAUUGUAUCAAGAGUCUGAAAGGCCUGUCUUUCCCUUCAUUCUCCAAACAAAAAGCUUUUUAUAGCCAGGUCUCGC